rnacentral:rRNA from 1 species
GACAGAAUCCUCGAGCGUUACCCGGAUUUAUUGGGCGUAAAGGGUCCGUAGGUGGCGCAGUAAGUUUUGAGUUAAAACCCAUCGGCUUAACCUUUGGGGUGCUCAAAAUACUGCUGUGCUUGAGGGCGUUAGGGGUUAGCGGAACCGACGGAGUAGGGGUGAAAUCCGUUGAUAUCGUCGGGAACACCAAAAGCGAAGGCAGCUAACUAGGACGACCCUGACACUGAGGGACGAAAGCGUGGGGA